rnacentral:lncRNA from 1 species
AGGAGUGAAGAGGGAACGGAGGUGGUGAGGUUGGAGGAGAUGAGAAGUGUAACGUUGAAGUUUAUGGAAGUUAAGUGAUUGCAUAGUUGGAAACAUGGUAAAAGAUGGCCUUGUCCAAAAAAUGGUACUAUGCAAAUUUCUUGAGACAUUAAUUACUUUGGUUUUUGAGUGUAUGAAUGAAUAUGUUGUUGUGUGUUUUAUAGGAAGCAAGAAGAAGACCAUUUGAUUUUGACUGUUAGGUUGGACUUAAAAGAAUAGUAGACAGUGUGGGGUCAGGUCACGGAAAACGGCCCCACCGG